rnacentral:rRNA from 1 species
CGCGUAGGUAACCUGCCUGGUAGCGGGGGAUAACUAUUGGAAACGAUAGCUAAUACCGCAUAACAGUAGAUGUUGCAUGACAUUUGCUUAAAAGGUGCAAUUGCAUCACUACCAGAUGGACCUGCGUUGUAUUAGCUAGUUGGUGGGGUAACGGCCCACCAAGGCGACGAUACAUAGCCGACCUGAGAGGGUGAUCGGCCACACUGGGACUGAGACACGGCCCAG